rfam:Brachypodium distachyon strain Bd21 chromosome 3, whole genome shotgun sequence.
AUACCUUUCUCGGCCUUUUGGCUAAGAUCAAGUGUAGUAUCUGUUCUUAUCAGUUUAAUAUCUGAUAUGUGGGCUAUGUGCCCACAACGAUAUUAAAUUUAUUUUUCGUGGGGAAGGCCUGCUAAAGUAGCUUGCUGCUUGGGCCUUCUUGUGUCGCCUGGGCUUUGCACUACAGCACAGGCCGGCGCGCCCCAA